rnacentral:ncRNA from 1 species
UGUAACCAGAAAUGAUAAGGUGCUGAUCAACAGUCAGUGAAAAGGGAAACCGGUGCAAAUCCGGUGCGGUCGCGCCACUGUGAAUGGGGAAGCGGUCUGCGAUAACCACUGCUUGUAAGAAGCGGGAAGGUGCAGUCCAAUGAGGAACCAUGAGCCAGGAGACCUGCCUUAUUAUCAAUCCUUCG